UCGCACAAGACGCAGUGCGGCGCGGCUGUA
rnacentral:sRNA from 1 species